GAUGGCUGGUCUCAGAAGACCCUCUGAAAACCCAAAGAAGCUUUGGCUACCAGGGGAUUCAUUUCUCAUCUUAAAAUUAUUCUUUAGAGACAAGAUUUAAACCUUCACUUUCUAGGCCUUAGAGUUCCCUUCUCAGAAUAACAGGUGGAUUACACCGAUGGCUGCAAACUCCAUGGGAGCAGGUACUUCAGUCAUCUGGGCCUUGCAGGAGGCCCUGCUCUAAGCUGGUAUUGCUGGCUUCAAUAGUUAUUGAAUGAAUGACUGAAUCAUCGGAGGCUCGCCAAUUUUACCUGGUGCCUUCACUACCAUAGGGUUAAGAGGGGAGGUGGUCAUCACUGGGAAUCAUUUACUGAGCACCUGCCACGUACUGGAAAACAUUCACCAGGAACUUUUCUGU
rnacentral:lncRNA from 10 species